CCAAUAGCGUAUAUUAAAGUUGUUGCAGUUAAAAAGCUCGUAGUUGAAUUUCGGGGUUCUACCGUUGGUCGGGCUUUGUCUGUACUGGCGUGUAGAAUUUCUACCUUCUGGGGAACCAUUAUGUUAUUAAUUUAACGUGGUGGGAAACCAGGACCUUUACCUUGAAAAAAUUAGAGUGUUCAAAGCAGGCUUUAUGUCUGAAUACAUUAGCAUGGAAUAAUAAAAUAGGACGGUGGUCCUGUUUUGUUGGUUUCUGAAUCACCGUAAUGAUUAAUAGGGAUAGUUGGGGGCAUUAGUAUUCAAUUGUCAGAGGUGAAAUUCUUGGAUUUAUUGAAGACUAACUUCUGCGAAAGCAUUUGCCAAGGAUGUUUUCAUUAAUCAAGAACGAAAGUUAGGGGAUCGAAGACGAUCAGAUACCGUCGUAGUCUUAACCAUAAACUAUGCCGACUAGGGAUCGGACGAUGUUAAUUUUUCUUGACUCGUUCGGCGCCUUACG
rnacentral:rRNA from 1 species